GAUCGCGAUAGAAGAGAGGCACGCUAGGUUCGCGUGACGGCUCUGGGUUAGCGGGUUGACGUCGAAUAAAAUGAAGACUUACGCGCGAUCGUGGUACGCGUACGCGAUUGAUACGUAACGAUUGCUAGAAGUGACACACGGUACGAGGGAGUAAAUCACGUCAGCGUUAAGGCAAUUAGAUGAAGAGAAUGAACAGUUUCAAAGUCGGGUUCGAAUUGAUGCGUCGUCUUUGACGGAAACGACGGAUGUCUAAUGCGGAACGUACGUAGGAUAAGUGAACGCAUGGGCGUCGAUGCGGAGCAUUGGAAACGAGGAAUAAUGUGACGCGUAUUGUAAAUCGUAUAAUCGCGCAAUUUUCAUUCAUCAUCAAGUAGUUACACGUACGUCCAUUCGCACGUAUACACGAAGGUCGUUGUUUGAAAUAUCUACAAAUAUUAUCUGAAGGCCGACGCUGCUGAGGAAAAAGUAUACCUACCGGUUUAAUGUUGAAUUUUGCGAAUAAAACGGGGUAGCCGACGAUCGUGCGGAUGAUAGGAUGGAAUGGUUGUGUACGCGUAAAGAGUCUGUCUGUAGUACAGGCCCUGUAGUGUGGUCGUGCAAUUGCGCGAAGGAAAUGAGAUCAAGUUUGAGUGAUUGCGGACAGCAGCCGAAGAGACGAGGAGAAGAGAGGCAGGGUACGAGGAUAGGACAGUUCAAGAACCGAAUCUACAGAUUGCCGGCCGGAUAAACUGAAACAAAUGGAACAGAACGGAUCUCGCGUGUUUGGAACGUAAAGACAAAAUUGAAAGGAAUCUUUUGUGGCAUUUCGCGAUGCGAAAUAAUUACACACGAUUGAUUAAGAUUGCUUUCAAAAAUAAACAUUUAUUUCAAAAUUAA